rnacentral:piRNA from 1 species
UGCUACUAUGCUAUGCAGUCACCUUGGGG